CAAAUAUCAAUCUGGAUGAGAGUAUCAGGGUUCAGCAAACUGAAGAUCAGCUUUACAACAUCAGCAGCUCUCUGAAGAUUUCAGAUGAAUAUCCAGAUCUGAUCUACAGCUGCACCAUCAGAACCAGGAGCAGCAACAGGACAGAAACUUAUAAAAUAACAGAAUUUUUACAGCCAGAUGAAGAUUCACACAAGAGGCUGAUUGGUGGUUUGAUUGCAUCAGCAGUGACGGGGCUAAUUAUAGGAGUGAUUGUCUGGUGUUUUUGUAAAAGACGACUUAAAAGUAAAAAGAGUAAAUAUGGAACAAAAUCAGCAUCAGAGGAAAAAUGACUGGAAACAAGACAAGAAAACACAACAAUGAUCCAAAACAUGAAGAAUCAACUGACCACAAAAUGACACAGAACUGAAGUUCAUGACAGCAGAGCUGGACGAUAAUGAAACUUUGAUGAACUUCAAGAACUUCAGUUGAAGGAAAUGAGAUAAAAACUGUAAAUUAAUAUAAUUAUUUCAUGUUGAAGUGCUUUGUUUUUUUCUGCCUUGAAUAUAUAUUUUUUAAUAAAGUGUUAAAUUGCUUGAUUCACUCAGAAACGUUUUUUACUUGCACAGUUUAGGAACCAUUUUCAUAAUUAGUCCCUGCAGAGAGAUCAUGCUGUGGUUGUUGUUUCCAUGGAGACAGGGCCUAAAUGUUAACACAUGGUGGUGGCAGUAUCAUGCUGUGGUGUUUUUUUUUCUUCAGCAGGAGCAGCAGAGCUGUUCAGAGUUGAUUGAGAGACGGAUGGAGACAUGUGGAAGAAAGUGCAGAAGGUUUGUUCUUAAGAGGAAAAA